AGGGGCCACCGUCGCUCCCGCGCUGUCCUCAGGCUUGACCAGCAGGGAGAAGGGCGGCCUUUGG
rnacentral:precursor_RNA from 1 species